UAAAAGGGUUUCUGCCGUGAGUGGCACACGGGGGAGGCUCGCGCUUUCCCCGUGCGGAAUCGAUAUCAAGAGAUUUCGGAAGCACAAUUUUUGUUCCGAGGGGCUGCUGGUGAUCGAUUGUCCCGGCGCCCCC